rnacentral:rRNA from 1 species
GACGAACGCUGGCGGCGUGCCUAAUACAUGCAAGUCGAGCGCAGGAAGCUGACGGAACUCUUCGGAGGGAAGGCAGUGGAAUGAGCGGCGGACGGGUGAGUAACACGUAAGGAACCUGCCUCAAGGAUUGGGAUAACUCCGAGAAAUCGGAGCUAAUACCGGAUAGUUCAACGGACCGCAUGGUCCGCUGAUGAAAGGCGCUCCGGCGUCACCUUGAGAUGGCCUUGCGGUGCAUUAGCUAGUUGGUGGGGUAACGGCCCACCAAGGCGACGAUGCAUAGCCGACCUGAGAGGGUGAUCGGCCACACUGGGACUGAGACACGGCCCAGACUCCUACGGGAGGCAGCAGUAGGGAAUCUUCCACAAUGGACGAGAGUCUGAUGGAGCAACGCCGCGUGAGUGAUGAAGGUUUUCGGAUCGUAAAACUCUGUUGUAAGGGAAGAACACGUACGAGAGGUAAUGCUCGUACCUUGACGGUACCUUACGAGAAAGCCACGGCUAACUACGUGCCAGCAGCCGCGGUAAUAC